rnacentral:pre_miRNA from 2 species
GGGAGGUGUGAUCCCGUGCUUCCUGGGAGGUGUGAUCCUGUGCUUCCUGGGAGGUGUGAUCCUGUGCUUCCU